rnacentral:rRNA from 1 species
UACGUAGGGUGCGAGCGUUGUCCGGAAUUACUGGGCGUAAAGGGUUUGUAGGUGGCUUGUUAAGUCAGACGUGAAAUCCCUCAGCUUAACUGGGGAACUGCGUCUGAGACUGGUGAGCUUGAGUGCAGGAGAGGAACGCGGAAUUCCAGGUGUAGCGGUGAAAUGCGUAGAUAUCUGGAGGAACACCGGUGGCGAAGGCGGCGUUCUGGACUGCAACUGACACUGAUGAACGAAAGCCAGGGGAGCAAACGGG